UACGAAGGGGGCUAGCGUUGCUCGGAAUCACUGGGCGUAAAGCGCACGUAGGCGGACUCUUAAGUCGGUGGUGAAAUCCUGGAGCUCAACUCCAGAACUGCCUCCGAUACUGGGAGUCUCGAGUCCGGGAGAGGUGAGUGGAACUGCGAGUGUAGAGGUGAAAUUCGUAGAUAUUCGCAAGAACACCAGUGGCGAAGGCGGCUCACUGGCCCGGUACUGACGCUGAGGUGCGAAAGCGUGGGGAGCAAACAGG
rnacentral:rRNA from 1 species